AAUUAAUGAACUUGUAUAAGUAUUUACUUUGAAAGUAUAUAAAAGAGAUUUAAACUCUCUAUUAAUUU
rnacentral:tRNA from 1 species